AUGCCGCUGCCACCUCUUUCCGGCGACCACCAUAGCCCUGCACCAAUUAUAAAUCAGUGGGUAUAAAGCUUAAUUUCUCUUUGUCAAAUCAGUUCUAUAUAAACGUAUAUAUACAUGUGGUGUUGUGUUUAUAUGGUUUAAUUUGAUUUAUAUAAUCGAUUUAUGUGUGCUUGUAUGUAUAUAAACUGAUUAUAUGCUGGUUAUUGAAAUUUGAAGGUUGAUUGAAUUUUUGAGAUUGAGAUUGGUGUUAGUAAUCGUAUGAUUGAAUUGUGUGCUUAAUUGAUAUUUGAAUUGGUUGUUGGAGGUUCAUUAUAAAUGGUGCGCCAACUAGUAGUGUAAUCGGAUGACUUGGGUACUUGAUUUAUGGGAAUAUAUAACUGAGUAUUAAAGCUUUAAGGUCUGAGAUUUUGUGUAAAUGUUUUCAGAAUGGUGUUUUAAGAGUUUAAGUAUUGAGCUAAAAAAAAUUUAGAUUUACACAUAAUCGGUUGAAUUGUAAGUUGCUGCUGAUCUGUUUUGCAGUAAAAUUCUGGGCUUCUAGAGUCGAAUUAUAUGCUUAAUAUUUUUGUGGUUAUGUGCUCCUCAGAGUCUAGUUUAUGUGCGCAAAAGAAUCGAAUCAAUUCGAUUAGCGAGCUAGGAGAUAUGACCGUUUUAGUAUAGUAUGGUGCUGAAAAUUCUGGGCAGGUUUGUCCUGUUCUAGGCUCUGUUUUACUGCUUUAAACUUGAAGUUUCUUUCUGAAAAUUUUACUGUAGGUUGGAAUAAUAUUCAGGAGUGUCUCAUAAAAAUUUUGUAUUUAAAAGAUAAAUUUUCAAUUUAUUAAAAAUCAUAGACCGAGGGCUGUUUGAACUAUUUGUUCUAGUUUUUCUUUCUUUGCUAGUGCAUAGUAUGAGGUUAUACUUGGCUAAUUGCAUAUGAUUGAUUAUUACAUUGAUUGGCUCGGUUAACCUUUAUAUCUAAUUAAACGUGCUUUGCGUAUAACAAAUUAGUAAUCCUGCUAAAAGAUUUUAUUAUAUGUUCACUACAAGUCAAGACAGAUUUUCUGUUCACUGCAAGCCAAGGGAUCUUUUUUUAUAUUAAUAAUUCAUGUGUUAGCAAUGGUAUUGGUUGGUUGUUGGUAUUGCAAACAGGUGGAUAGUCCGAUAAACAGAGGAGAUGAUGCCGAAUUUUCGUUAGGAAUUAUAUGUAUUUAAUGGCUAUAAAAAGGGGUUAUUUGUGCAAUUAUGUGUUAUGUGUUUAUCUGCCUAUGUGGUAUGUAUAUGCGAAGGGUAGAUAUAUAUAGGUCUUAAUACUUUUCAGAGUUAGUUAAUUUGUCUGAUCCGACGGUUAAAAUACUAUUUUACUAUCGUAUAGAAUUGAAGACAUUGACCGAGGCAUUGAUCGAGAAGUGAUUGAAAUGGGUAUCCAGAAUUAGCCAAGUAGUGUUGCAAGUUGAAGUAGGGCGGAGAUUUGUUAUAGAUAAAAGCUUGUCAGAAGCUGGCAGAAAGGAAUGAUAUGGCGGUAUAUAGUAUUAUUAGAAAUCUGACCUAGACACCAGAGUUAAGGCAAGUACUUCUACCUUUCUCUCGCAAUUUAGAAGCAAGUAUUUCUACCCUACUCCUCUAGUACCUAUAGAUACUAAAACCUUCUUUAUAUCAUGAUUCAAAUUAUUUGCAAUUACUUUCUUGUGAAGCAUAUCUAGUACUUUUAAACCUUUUGGUUGAACGGAUAACACUUUUGGUAUCGACUCUACACUAUGAUAUGCAUAAAGAAAUUGUUUUAACAAAAUGUUGUUCUGGCUCUUGAAUUACAUGAUAGAACUGCAGAUUGUUUUAAAAAUUAAACUGUUGGGUUGUUUUUGCGUAAGAGGCUCGGGCACCGGCCCAGCGUGAAAGGUGGCUCCUUAAGCCCGGAUUACCGGAAUUCGUAAUAUUUGUCAACCUUGCUGAAUAAGCUUGGUUUAUGGACUAUAGCAUGACUGAUCAUCUGUUAUAGCCAGGUGUCCAAUUAAUUUUAAAGCCCAAUAAAAUUGUGAAUAGUUUAAAAAGAAGUUACCCUGCCUUCAAGAGAUAUUUGCUUAUACAUUCAUUUCUGCAGUUUUAAAUAUUUUCACUUCUUUAUUAUGGCAUUGCUGUACAACAAAUAUCAAUUUCAUUUUGUUAUUCUUGCUGAGCAUUAUUGCUCAUUCUUGCUAUUCCUUCUAACCCUUUUCAGCUAGGAAUAAAGAUGAUUCACUUAAGACUAGGCAAGGAUUGCAAGUGGUUGAGUUUCAAGCAGAUGGACAGGUAGAGUAUUUAGGACGAUGUCAUUAAGACUAGAUGCAGUUGGAGUUCUGCAAUUCAAUUCAGUUGGAAAUUAGAUUUGUUUAUUUGGUUAUCAGCUACUCUUCUUAUCGAGGUUUAGCUGAUAAUGUUGUUUAAUUUGUAAAUAAGAUUUUAUAGUUUUAGUUUCUGAUUUCAAUGCUGUAGCCUGUAUGCGAUCCUGUUUUCAGGGGGUGAAAUUGAUUUUGAAUUAAAGACCUUCUUUUAAAAAAAUAAUAUCCAGGUUUAGAAAUACUUGUUUUUACUUUCUUCCAAAAAUACAGGUUUUAAAUUGUUUUUCUUUUAAUGGCUCAAAACUACAGGUUUUAAAUUAUUUUUAUUUACACGUGGCACCAGAUCUAGACCCCCGGAUUUGAGGGAUGUCACAGUUGGUAUCAGAGCUACAGGUUAUAAGUUAUUGAAAUCAGAAUGUAGGUUGUAACUUGUCUAAUAAGAUAGACACGUUAAGUGAAACCUCACAUAUAGGUAAGUUCAGAUUAGUGGUGUAACCUCAUAUAGAGGUAUCGUAAGACUAUUUGGGGAUAGUCCUUUUGAGCAUAAUAAAAUGAAGCUAAACGAUUAUGUUUAAGUGAUUAUGGUUAUAGACACAACAAUUCCUAAUUCUAGUUCUUCCAGUCCCUAGUGGCCUAGUUUAUUGACCAAUUCAGAUUUAUAUCAUUGUAAGAGGGUCAAAGUUAGACCUAUCAACAGAACCUUCAAGCUAGAACCAGUAGAGAUUCUCACACAGUCUAAUGUAUCCUUUAUAGUAUCUUCCAAGUGUUGAGUAUUAUUUGAAGAGUCACCUUUUGAUUCUUGUCAGAGAUAUCUAGAAUUGGUGAAAGAAUAGAGGUGUUAACAAGUCCGAGUUUACAGCUUUGUAUAUAGUUAAGUAGUGAGCGUUAGAGCUACGUAGAGUUUGUGUUAGAUUAUUCGAUCUAGUACUUAUGUGUGAGUUAAGAUGUCAACGCUCUAUGGUGAUGAUUGUAUAAAGUUGGAUAAGACUUUUGACCGACAACGAUAUCAAUGAUGGGAUCUUCAGAGGCUAUUACUAGUCAACGAUAAUAUAUGCAAGUGGUCACUAAAACGUCAAGAAAAAUCACUAGAAUCAGAACGAGUCAUCAAAAGAAUCGAUCAAAAAGACAUCUGUGAGAAUCCUGGCAAUACCUUCCUCAUUGUUGAUAUAUUGAUUUCUUUCCCCAUCAAUGAUUUGUUCUGACAUCACUUUAAAAAAAAAAAAUAUUUGAUAAAGAGUAUAUUUUUACCUUUCACUCGAGUUCUCGAAUGAUACUUGUGCUUACUGUCACACCUAUAGAAUCUAUUCAAUCUUGGUAAUUUCGAACCCUUUCAUAUUCUUUACUCUAACUGAGAUGAACAACCCUACCUAUAGGGGACACAAGGACUACCUGUCUGUGUGAUAGGAGUUGGAUGGGACGCCAUCACUUGUGUGUGUUGUACAUUACAAGAAGGUUAACUACCUUUAGUAGUGUCUUAAAUUAGACACGCAACACCGAGUUCUAUAGACCAUAUUGAUCUCUCAGUUAUUCAUUUAUUUCAAUCACGUAACACUUGCUCCAAUAUGUGAAAUCUGUCAUAUCUUUUACCUUCAAGAUUCUUCUAAUCUCUAAUAGUUGGAGGUAUGCCAACCGAGUUGCCAAUAUGAAUUAAGACUUUGUAGUAAGAAGCACCAGGGAUGAAAGCGAAUGACAAUGCUGGUUAUAUCAGAAAGGAAUAUUAUGGAUUAUAGAGAUCGUACACUCUAGUUUUCUUUUUGAUGAUUCCGAGGACGGAAUCUUUUUAAGGGGGGUAGAUUGUGACGACCCGGAUUUUCAGAAAUUAUUUUAUUAUUUUUAUUCAUGAUUAUUCGAGACAAAUGAGGAAUAAAUUUCAAUAUUUUAUUCUAGUUUGAUAAUUUUCAAAAAUAUUUGUUUAAAUUAUUUUCCUAGUCAUUGUGAUUAUGAGAAAAUAUCUGUUGAUUGUACAAUUAUAUGUUACGAGAUUUAAUUGAAUUAGUUGUCUACUAUUAUGUCUGUGUGUGCAUUUAUUUUUACUUUUAAUAUUACUGUAUUGUUUUAUUGAAAUUUAUUAUCCUCUUAAAUGGAUAUUUAUUUUUGUAAAAAUACAAAGAUAAUUUCAAAAAUUAUUUUAAUUGCUCGAUAGUGAUCAUAAAUAUGUUUAGAAGUUUUUAAAAUAUUAAAAAUCCAAUUUCUACAAGGACAUGAUUUUUAAUUAGUUUCUAAACGCAGCUAACUUCUUAAUUUUGUAUAAAUUUUGAAAAUGCUCUAUAAAUCUUGAAACUUUUAUUUUAUGAGUUUUAUAAUAUUCGGUAAUUUAUAAAAUUAGUUUGUUAAUUUUUCGAGAAAGUUUUAAUGCGAGUUAUCCCGUAAAUCAACUAAAUAGCGGGUGUUUGGAUGAUUAUUCAGCUUAAAAUAAAACGUGGCAGCCUUUGGCCAAACCACGUGCCCUGCUUUUCACCACCGCCAUCCCUUUUCUUCAUUUUAUAUACAUCAGCCUCUCAAUCUCUCUCUCUCUCUCUCUGUGAAAUCCUCCAUCUCUCCCUCUCCGCUCCUCUUUCUUUUCUCACCCAUCUUCCUCUCUUUCUUGGCAUCACCGUCCCUUCCCUGCAGCCGCCGAAUUAUGCCGUUAUGCCGCUGCCACCUCUUUCCAGCGACCACCAUAGCCCUGCACCAAUUAUAAAUCAGUGGGUGUAAAGCUUAAUUUCUCUUUGUCAAAUCAGUUCUAUAUAAACGUAUAUAUACAUGUGGUGUUGUGUUUAUAUGGAUUAAAUUGAUUUAUAUAAUCGAUUUAUGUGUGCUUGUAUGUAUAUAAACUGAUUAUAUGCUGGUUUUUGAAAUUUGAAGGUUGAUUGAAUUUUUGAGAUUGAGAUUGGUGUUAGUAAUCGUAUGAUUGAAUUGUGUGCUUAAUUGAUAUUUGAAUUGGUUGUUGUAAGUUGAUUAUAAAUAGUGCGCCAAUUAGUAGUGUAAUCGGAUGACUUGGGUACUUGAAUUAUGGGAAUAUAUAACUGAGUAUUCAAGCUUUAAGGUCUGAGAUUUUUGUAAAUGUUUUCAAAGUGGUGUUUUAAGAGUUUAAGUAUUGGGCUAAAAAAAAAUUUUGAUUUACACAUAUUCGGUUGAAUUCUAGAUUGCUGUUGAUCUGUUUUGAAUUACAACUCUGGGAUCAUAGAGUUGAAUUAUAUGCUUAAUAUUUGUGUGGUUAUGUGCUCCUUAGAGUCUAGUUUAUGUGCGCGAAAGAACCGAAUCGAUUCGAUUAGCGAGCUAGGAGAUAUGACCGUUUUAGUAUAGUAUGGUGCUGAAAAUUCUGGGCAGGUUUGUCCUGUUCCAGGCUCUGUUUUACAGCUUUAAACUUGGAUUUUCUUUCUGAAAAUUUUACUGUAGGUUGGAAUAAUAUUUAGGAGUGUCUCAUAAAAAUUUCGUAUUAAAAAGAUAAUUUUUCAAUUUAUUAAAAAUCAUAGACCGAGGGCUGUUUGAACUAUUUGUUCUAUUUUUCUUUCUUUGCUAGUGCAUAGUAUGAGGUUAUACUUGACUAAUUGCAUAUGAUUGAUUAUUACAUUGAUUGGCUCGGUUAACCUUGUAUAUCUAAUUAAAAGUGUUUUGCGUAUAACAAGUUAGCAAUCCUGCUAAAAGAUUUUAUUAUAUGUUUACUACAAGUCAAGACAGAUUUUCUUAUGUGUUUACUGCAAGUCAAGGGAUCUUUUUAUAUUAAUAAUUCAUGUGUUAGCAAUAGUAUUGGUUGGUUGUUGGCAUUGCAAACAGGUGGAUAAGCUUAUAAACAGAGGAGAUGCUGCCGAAUUUUCGUUAGAAAUUAUAUGGAUUUAAUGCCUAUAAAAAGGGUUGUUUGUACAACUAUGUGCUAUGUGUUUAUGUGACUGUGGUAUGUAUAUGCGAAGGGUAGAUAUAUAUAUAGGUCUUAAUGCAAUUCAGGGUUAGUCAAUAUGUCUAAUCCGACGACUGAAAUACUAUUUUAUCAUCGUAUAGAAUUGAAGACAUUGACCGAGGCAUUAAUCGAGAAGUGAUUGAAAGGGGUAUUCAGAAAUAGCCAAGCAGAAUGUUACAAGUUGAAGUAGGACGGAGAUUUGUUAUAGAUAAAAGUGUGUCAGAAGCUGGCAGAAAGGAAUGAUUAUGCGGUAUAUAGUGUUACUAGGAAUCUGAGCUAAACUUUGGAGUUAAGGCAAGUACUUCUACCUUCUCUCGCAAUUUAGAAGCAAGUAUUUCUACCCUACUCCUCUAGUACCUAUAGAUACUAAAACCUUCUUUAUAUCAUGAUUCAAAUUAUUUGCAAUUACUUUCUUGUGAAGCAUAUCUAGUACUUUUAAACUUUUUGGUUGAACGGAUAACACUUUUGGUAUCAACUCUACACUAUGAUAUGCAUAAAGAAAUUGUUUUAACAAAAUGUUAUUCUGGCUCUUGAAUUACAUGAUGGAACUGCAGAUUGUUUUAAAAAUUAAACUAUUGGGUUGUUUUUGCGUAAGAGGCUCGGGCACCGGCCCAGCGUGAAAGGUGGCUCCUUAAGCCCGGAUUACCGGAAUUCGUAAUAUUUGUCAACCUUGCUGAAUAAGCUUGGUUUAUGGACUAUAGCAUGACUGAUCAUCUGUUAUAGCCAGGUGUCCAAUUAUUUUUAAAGCCCAAUAAAAUUGUGAAUAGUUUAAAAAGAAGUUACCCUGCCUUCAAGAGAUAUUUGCUUAUACAUUCAUUUCUGCAGUUUUAAAUAUUUUCACUUCUUUAUUAUGGCAUUGCUGUACAACAAAUAUCAAUUUCAUUUUGUUAUUCUUGCUGAGCAUUAUUGCUCAUUCUUGCUAUUCCUUCUAACCCUUUUCAGCUAGGAAUAAAGAUGAUUCACUUAAGACUAGGCAAGGAUUGCAAGUGGUUGAGUUUCAAGCAGAUGGACAGGUAGAGUAUUUAGGACGAUGUCAUUAAGACUAGAUGCAGUUGGAGUUCUGCAAUUCAAUUCAGUUGGAAAUUAGAUUUGUUUAUUUGGUUAUCAGCUACUCUUCUUAUCGAG
rnacentral:lncRNA from 1 species